rnacentral:rRNA from 1 species
CUCCUAAAGAGUAACGGAGGAGCACGAAGGUUGGCUAAUCCUGGUCGGACAUCAGGAGGUUAGUGCAAUGGCAUAAGCCAGCUUGACUGCGAGCGUGACGGCGCGAGCAGGUGCGAAAGCAGGUCAUAGUGAUCCGGUGGUUCUGAAUGGAAGGGCCAUCGCUCAACGGAUAAAAGGUACUCCGGGGAUAACAGGCUGAUACCGCCCAAGAGUUCAUAUCGACGGCGGUGUUUGGCACCUCGAUGUCGGCUCAUCACAUCCUGGGGCUGAAGUAGGUCCCAAGGGUAUGGCUGUUCGCCAUUUAAAGUGGUACGCGAGCUGGGUUUAGAACGUCGUGAGACAGUUCGGUCCCUAUCUGCCGUGGGCGCUGGAGAACUGAGGGGGGCUGCUCCUAGUACGAGAGGACCGGAGUGGACGCAUCACUGGUGUUCGGGUUGUCAUGCCAAUGGCACUGCCCGGUAGCUAAAUGCGGAAGAGAUAAGUGCUGAAAGCAUCUAAGCACGAAACUUGCCCCGAGAUGAGUUCUCCCUGACCCUUUAAGGGUCCUGAAGGAACGUUGAAGACGACGACGUUGAUAGGCCGGGUGUGUAAGCGCAGCGAUGCGUUGAGCUAACCGGUACUAAUGAACCGUGAGGCUUAACCUUACAACGCCGAAGGUGUUU